GGAAACCUUCGCCGGAAGGUUCGAUUGCGUGUGGUGGUGACCCCUGCCUCGGCUUUUCGCCGAGUUCUGCAUUGUUCAUGGGAGGCAGUUCUUCGCUGCCGCUGGGGUGAAUUCGGGGCCAUUUCUCCGGAGUUAGGGUAGUGGGUAACUGUAUGAGCCCGUUGGGGACUUCUAGUUUCCUACGUGCCCCCGGGUGUUGUGGUACUUGAGGAGUUCUGAGUUGGAGCUGGAGGUCCGCGCCUCAGGGAGGAACUCGGUCUACCCCAUGAGAGAUUUAACGUGCUAGCUUUCUACUUGGAAGUCGCAAACCAAAAGUCACCCUGAGGAGAAGCGUCCUAGCUGGAGGCUGGCUGUCGGGAAAUGCUUGUUCCCGAGGCCGGCUUGGCGCUCCGGGCGCGUCGCGCCGUCGCUCUGGAGCUAAGAGCCGCUGCCCUGUAGGGAGCGAGCGCUCGCUGUUGGCAGGGCACCUCGGAGAGCGCUCGGAUGGUUGGACACAGUUGGGCUUAUUGUCCCCUUGAAAGGAGAGGAGCACGGAAGAGGAUACAGAAGCCAAAUUAUGGAUUCUACAAAAGUUAUAUAUCUAGAAACAGACUCCUGGAUUCUUCACUCUGGUUCAUUCUUUAUGCUGAGCACCACUCCAGCUCUCCAGAUGCCUAAUAAUUUACUUGCUUGGGGCUGGCACUGGCAUAGUAGGUUAAGCCGCCGCAUGAAGUGCUGGCAUCCCAUAUGGACUUAAGUUCAAGUCCUGGCUACUCCCUUCCAGUCUAGCUCUCUAUUAUGGCCUGGGAAAGCAGUGGAAGAUGGCACAAGUCCUUGAGGCCCUGCACCUGCGUGGGAGACCCAGAAGAAGCUCCUGGCUCCUGGCUUCAGAUCGACCCAGCUCCUGCUGUUGCUGCCGUUUGGGGGAGUGAACUAGCAAAUGAAAGACUUCUCUAUUUCUCUCUUUCUCUGCAUCUCUGUAACUCUUACUUUCAAAU